rnacentral:rRNA from 1 species
AACGUAGGAGACGAACGUUAUCCGGAGUUACUGGGCGUAAAGGGCGUGUAGGCGGUUUGUUAAGUCUGGCGUGAAAGCUCUCGGCUAAACCGGGAGAGGUCGUUGGAUACUGGCAAACUUGAGGAUGGUAGAGGCGUGUGGAAUUCCGGGUGUAGUGGUGAAAUGCGUAGAGAUCCGGAGGAACACCAGUGGCGAAGGCGACACGCUGGGCCAUAACUGACGCUGAGGCACGAAAGCGUGGGGAGCAAACAGG